rnacentral:rRNA from 1 species
UACGGAGGGGGCAAGCGUUAAUCGGAAUUACUGGGCGUAAAGCGCACGCAGGCGGCUUGGUAAGUCUGAUGUGAAAUCCCCCGGCUCAACCUGGGGACUGCAUCUGAUACUGGCAAGCUUGAGUCUCGUAGAGGGGGGUAGAAUUCCAGGUGUAGCGGUGAAAUGCGUAGAGAUCUGGAGGAAUAUCGGUGGCGAAGGCGGCCCCCUGGACGAAGACUGACGCUCAGGUGCGAAAGCGUGGGGAGCAAACGGG